UACGUAGGGCGCAAGCGUUGUCCGGAAUUAUUGGGCGUAAAGCGCACGUAGGCGGUUCGUUAAGUCGGAUGUGAAAGCCCUCGGCUCAACUGAGGAAGUGCACCCGAAACUGGCGAGCUUGAGUACGAAAGAGGAUCGCGGAAUUCCCGGUGUAGAGGUGAAAUUCGUAGAUAUCGGGAGGAACACCGGUGGCGAAGGCGGCGAUCUGGGUCGAUACUGACGCUGAGGUGCGAAAGCGUGGGGAGCAAACAGG
rnacentral:rRNA from 1 species